rnacentral:rRNA from 1 species
UACGUAGGGGGCGAGCGUUGUCCGGAUUCAUUGGGCGUAAAGAGCUCGUAGGCGGCUUGGUAAGUCGGGUGUGAAACCUCCAGGCUCAACCUGGAGACGCCACUCGAUACUGCCAUGGCUAGAGUCCGGUAGGGGCCCACGGAAUUCCUGGUGUAGCGGUGAAAUGCGCAGAUAUCGGGAGGAACACCGGUGGCGAAGGCGGUUCUCUGGGCCUGUUCUGACGCUGAGGAGCGAAAGCGUGGGGAGCGAACAGG